rnacentral:lncRNA from 1 species
CGUCGCUCCUCGGCCCCGCCCCGUGUUCCGGUAAAGGCGGGAACGAGCGGGAGUCGCGCGGUUUGGCUGCUCCCGAGAGAGAGUUGGACGAGAAACUCUUCCCGCCCCCUGUCCCUUCUUCUCCAGCCGGGCAGCCUCCUGGAGCUGCCGCCGCUACAACCGCUGCCGACAGCCCGGUGGCCCCGAUGUGCCACCCCGCCCUUCCAUCGGGCUUUUUCUUGUGCGUGGGCUGGCCGGUGGAGACUUUUCCGUGCUGUGUGUCACAGCUACUUGAUGUGCUGAUUUUUUUCCCACCCUAUUUUCUCAUUAACUCACAAGAAGGUUGUGGCAAGAACACCCGUUUCCGGAAACGCUUGAACAUCCCUAGAAUUGGCUUGGAGCCAAAAAAGCACUGUCUCUUCAAACACGUUUUGCAUUCUCCACACUACAGCACUAAAGAAAAUCGGUGUUUCCACUUCCACGGCCAUUGCACAUCCUGUGGUGGGUCAGAGUCCAGAAGCACCGAGCCUUCAUAAGCUCUGUCCUCUGCCUCGGAGGGUGACGCUCCCUCCAGAAACGCCCCCGCCUCUCAGAGGAGGGACAGACAGCUGCUGCUGUCCCGGGGCUGCAGGCUGGGCUCUCAAACGAGCCGAGUUCCCAGGUCACUCCCAACAACUCGGCUUUCGGCUCCUGCAGUGAAAUGCAACCUUUGCAAGCACCUGAUGCCGCUGCCCUGCCGGGCUGGGCACAGGAGCCCUUCGCCGUGACCAGGGCAGGGAGAUGCAACGCUGGGCUUGACUCGCUGCGGAGCUGCAGGGCUGCUGUGCCAUCCGGCAGCAGGGGGGGAUGAAGUGCCAGCUGGGGCAGUGACAGGGACUGUGCCAGUCAGCGCAGGCAGGUCACAGGAACAACCAGCUGAGCCCGGCUACCCAGCCCGCACCCCCGGCCCUCAUGCCGGCAUCUCCUCUGCCCUGGGGCCUGGGGAAGAGGCGAGGAGGGUCGCUGCCAUCUUCUGGUCGGCAGCCCCAGAGCACCGGGAGGAGUCCUUAGGAGCCACCACACACCGGGGGACAGCGCCACAGACCCGAGGACAGCGCUGGAGCUGGAGCUUGCCUUCAAGGGAAAAGAAGCCCACUGGAGAGCGCCAGACACCGUCGGAGACGGAAGGACAGCGUGGGAUCUGCACCUUGCCUUAGAAAAAGGAAAAGUUUGGAGACUUGGAGGCAAAACCUUACGAGGUUUGGUCAGGAAUUCUUGACAGGACUGCUGGAAGGAUUUUUCGAAGGUCAGAGGCAUUUGGGCACUCUCCCAAGUCCGGGAGAUGGCUCCAGCUCAAGGUAGGAUAGGGUAGGAUAGGCGAGGGCUUGGGCAGGUCCUGGGAGGUUUGAGCAGCCUGUGGGAAAAGGAGCCAGGUCUGGCUCACAUGCUCAGGGAACAGCCGAUCGCCAGCACUGGGGUCAGGAAGGAAUUUUUUCCCCCGGGGCAGAUUGGCCCUGGUCCCCGGGGGUUUUUUGCCUUCCUCUGCAGCAUUGAGCAUGACCACUUUGCAGAGCUCCUCUGGGCCCUUUUGGCUCGGUUCCCGCCUGCUGCUCAAGCACCAGGAACAUGGCCUCUCGUGCCCUGCAGCUGGGGGGAGGAAGGCUUUUUUUUUCCCCCAGGUGGGACAGCAAGCGUCUCCGGGGGUUUUUUGCCUUCCUCUGCAGCGUUGAGCACGGCCCCUUGCCACGGCUUCUUUGGGCCAUUUGGGCUGGGUGCCUGCUGCUCCACGAGGUGGCCCUAAACUUAGCUAGAAUAGCCUAACUAAACCAGCAUAGAACAACUCACCUAAACCAACCUUUUAAAGAAGUGCAACCAACUAACCAGCCUUCAAGAAGCUAAAAUAAAUUGAAAAGAAACAGUU